rnacentral:piRNA from 1 species
AAACAAGUUUCUUCUUAGGCUAAG